UUGAACUUGAGUCUGUGUUGUUUUGAACUUGAGGAUGUGGCAAUUGUUAAACUUGACAAUCAGGUGUUGGUUGAACUUGAGUUUGUGUCGUGUUUGAACUUGAGUUCGUGUUGUUUGUUUAACUUGAGGUUGUGUGUUUUUUGAACUUGAGGUUGUGAAAAUUUUUAAACUUGAAAAUCAGGUGUUGGUUGAACUUGAGUUUGUGUUUUUUUUUGUCGGGUUUUACCUUGAGUUUGUAGUUUUUUGUACUUGAUUUUAUGGUGUUUUUGAACUUGAGUUUGUGUCGUGUUUGAACUUGAGUUUGUGUUGUGUUUGAACUUGAGUUUGUGGUGUUUUUGAAAUUGAGUUUGUGUGUUUGGUGAACUUGAAUUUGUGUGUUUUUUUAACUUGAGUUUCUGUUGUUUUUGAACUUGAGGUUGUGGAAAUUGUUAAACUUGAGAAUCAGGUGUUGGUUGAACUUGAGUUUGUAGUUUUUUUUUAACUUGAGUUAGUGAUGUGUUUAAACUUGAGUUUGUGUUGUUUUGGCACUUGAGUUUGUUUCGUGUUUGAACUUGAGUUUUCUGCGUUUGUUGAACUUGAGUUUUUUUCAUUUUGAACUUGAGUUUGUGGUGUUAUUGAACUUGAGUUUGUGGUGUUUUUGAACUUGAGGGUGUGGAUUUUGUUAAACUUGAGAAUUUUGUAUUGUUUGAACUUGAGUUUGUGUGUUUUUUGAACUUGAGUUUGUGUCGUGUUUGAACUUGAGUUCGUGUUGAUUGUUGAACUGGAGUUUUUGUGUUUUUUGAACUUGAGGUUGUGGCAAUUGUUAGACUUGAGAUUUGGGUGUUGGUUGAACUUGAGUUUGUGUCGUGUUUGAACUUGAGUUCGUGUUGAUUGUUGAACUUGAGUUUGUGUGUUUUUUGAACUUGAGAUUUUGUCGUGUUUGAACUUGAGUAUGUUGUGUAAUUGAACUUGAGUUGAGUCUGGUUUUUAAACUUAAGGUUGCGGAACUGUUAAACUUGAAAAUCAGGUAUUAGUGUAACUUGAGUUUGUGGUUUUAUUUAACUUCAGUUUGUGUCGUGUUUGAACUUGAGUUUGUAGUGUUUUUGAACUUGAGUUUGUGGUGUUUUUGAACUUGAGUUUGUUUCGUAUUUGAACAUGAGUUUGUGGCGUUUGUUGAACUUGAGUUUUUGUCGUGUUUGAACUUGAGGUUGUGGCAAUUGUUUUACUUGAGAUUUUGUUGUUGGUUGACCUUUAGUUUGUGUCACAUUUGAACUUGAGUUUGUGGUGUUUUUGAACUUGAAUUUGUGUGUUUCGUGAACUUGAGUUUAUGGUGUUUUCGAACUUGAAUCUGUUGUUGAACUUGAGGUUGUUGAAAUUGUUAAACUUGAGAAUUGGGUAUUGGUUGAACUUGAGAUUGUGAUUUUGUUUAACUUGAGUUUUUGUUGUGUUUCAACUUGAGUUUCUGAUGUUCUUGAAUUUGAGUUUGUGUGUUUGUUGAACUUGAGUUUGUUUCGUGUUUGAACUUGAGUUUGUGUCAUUUUUGAACUUGAGGUUGUGGUGUGUUUGAACUUGAGUUUGUGUGUAUUUUGAACUUAAGGUUGUGGUAAUUUUAAAACUUGAGAUUUGGGAAUUGGUUGAACUUGAGUCUGUGUUGUUGUUGAACUUGAGGUUUUUGAAAUUGUGAAACUUGAGAAUUGGGUAUUGGUUGAACUUGAGUUUGUGAUUUUGUUGAACUUGAGUUUGUGUCGUGUUUAAACUUGAGUUUGUGGUGUUUUUGAACUUGAGUUUGUGUUGUGUUUGAACUUGAGUUUGUUUCUUUCUUGACUUGAGUUUGUGGCAUUUGUUGAACUUGAGUUUGUGUCGUGUUUGAACUUGAAUUUGUGGUGUUUUCGAACUUGAGUUUGUGGUGUUUUUGAACUUGAGGUUGUGGUGUUUUUGAACUUGAGGAUGUGGAAAUUGUUCAACUUGAGAAUUGGGUAUUGGUUUAACUUGAGUUUUUUGUGUUUUUGAACUUGAGUUUGUGUCGUGUUUGAACUUGAGUUUGUGGUGUUUUUGAACUUGAAUUUGGGUGUUUGGUGAACUUGAGUUUUUGUGUUUUUUGAACUUGAGUUUCUGUUGUUUUUGAACUUGAGUUUGUGGAAAUUGUUGUGGAAAAACUUGAGAAUUUGGUAUUUGUUGAACUUGAGUCUGUGUUGUUGUUGAACUUGAGGUUGUUGAAAUUGUGAAACUUGAGAAUUGGGUAUUGGUUGAACUUGAGUUUGUGAUUUUUUUUAACUUGAGUUUGUGUCAUGUUUUAACUUGAGUUUGUGAUGUUUUUGAAUUUGAGUUUGUGUGUUUGUUGAACUUGAGUUUGUGUUGUGUUUGAACUUGAAUUUGUGGCAAAUGUUGAACUUGAGUCUGUGCUUUUUGGUGAACUUUAGUUGGUGGGAAUUGUUGAACUUGAGUUUGUGGCAUAUGUUGAACUUGAGUUUGUGACGUGUUUGAACUUGCGUUAGUUUUUUUUUUACUUGAGGUUGUGGUGUUUUUGAACUUGAGGUUUUGGAAAUUGUUUAACUUGAGAAUUGGGUAUUGGUUUAACUUGAGUUUGUGUGUUUGUUGAACUUGAGGUUGUGGCAAUUGUUAAACUUGAGUUUGUGUGUUUUUUGAACUUGAGUUUGCGGUGUGUUUGAACUAGAGUUUCUGUUGUUUUUGAACUUGAGUUUGUGGCAUUUGUUGAACUUGAGUUUGUGACGUGUUUGAACUUGGGUUUGUGUGUUUUUUGAACUUGAAUUUCUGUUGUUUUUGAACUUGAGGUAUUGGAAAUUGUUAAACCUUAGAAUCAGCUGUUGGUUGAACUUGAGUUUGUGUUUUGUUGAACUUGAGUUUGUGUCGUGUUUGAACUUUAGUUUGUGGUGUUUUUGAACUUGAGUUUGUGUGUUUGUUGAACUUGAGUUUGUGUUGUGUUUGAACUUGAGUUUGUGGUGUUUUUUAACUUAAGUUUGUGGUGUUUUUGAACUUGAGUUUGUGUGUUUGUUGAACUUGAGUUUGCGGUGUGUUUGAACUAGAGUUUCUGUUGUUUUUGAACUUGAGUUUGUGGCAUUUGUUGAACUUGAGUUUGUGACGUGUUUGAACUUGGGUUUGUGUGUUUUUUGAACUUGAAUUUCUGUUGUUUUUGAACUUGAGGUAUUGGAAAUUGUUAAACCUUAGAAUCAGCUGUUGGUUGAACUUGAGUUUGUGUUUUGUUGAACUUGAGUUUGUGUCGUGUUUGAACUUUAGUUUGUGGUGUUUUUGAACUUGAGCUUGUGUGUUUGUUGAACUUGAGUUUGUGUUGUGUUUGAACUUGAGGUUGUGGCAAUUGUUAAACUUGAGUUUGUGGUGUUUUUGAACUUGAGUUUGCGGUGUGUUUGAACUAGAGUUUCUGUUGUUUUUGAAUUUGAGUUUGUGGCAUUUGUUGAACUUGAGUUUGUGACAUGUUUGAACUUGGGUUUGUGUGUUUUUUGAACUUGAAUUUCUGUUGUUUUUGAACUUGAGGUAUUGGAAAUUGUUAAACCUUAGAAUCAGCUGUUGGUUGAACUUGAGUUUGUGUUUUGUUGAACUUGAGUUUGUGUCGUGUUUGAACUUUGGUUUGUGGUGUUUUUGAACUUGAGUUUGUGGUGUUUUUGAACUUAAGUUUGUGGUGUUUUUCAACUUGAGUUCGUGGUUUUUUUUAACUUGAGGUUGUGGAAAUUGUUAUACUUGAGACCUGGGUAUAGGUCGAACUUGAGGUUUUUUUUUUUAACAUGAGUUUGUGUCGUGUUUGAACUUGAGUUUGUGGUGUUUUUGGACUUGAGUUUGUGGUGUUUUUAACUUAAGGGUGUGCCAAAUGUUAAACUUGAGAAACUGGUAUUGGUUGAACUAGAGUUUUUGGUGUUUUUGAACUUGAGUUUUUGGAAAUUGUUAAACUUGAGAAUCAGAUGUUGGAUGAACUUGAGUUAGUGUGUUUUUUGAACUUGAGUUUGUGUCAUGUUUUAACUUGAGUUUGUGAUGUUUUUGAAUUUGAGUUUGUGUGUUUGUUGAACUUGAGUUUGUGUUGUGUUUGAACUUGAAUUUGUGGCAAAUGUUGAAAUUGAGUCUUUGCUUUUUGGUGAACUUUAGUUGGUGGGAAUUGUUGAACUUGAGUUUGUGGCAUAUGUUGAACUUGAGUUUGUGACGUGUUUGAACUUGCGUUAGUUUUUUUUUUACUUGAGGUUGUGGUGUUUUUGAACUUGAGGUUUUGGAAAUUGUUUAACUUGAGAAUUGGGUAUUGGUUUAACUUGAGUUUGUGUGUUUGUUGAACUUGAGGUUGUGGCAAUUGUUAAACUUGAGUUUGUGGUGUUUUUGAACUUGAGUUUGUGUGUUUUUUGAACUUGAGUUUGCGGUGUGUUUGAACUAGAGUUUCUGUUGUUUUUGAACUUGAGUUUGUGGCAUUUGUUGAACUUGAGUUUGUGACGUGUUUGAACUUGGGUUUGUGUGUUUUUUGAACUUGAAUUUCUGUUGUUUUUGAACUUGAGGUAUUGGAAAUUGUUAAACCUUAGAAUCAGCUGUUGGUUGAACUUGAGUUUGUGUUUUCUUGAACUUGAGUUUGUGUCGUGUUUGAACUUUAGUUUGUGGUGUUUUUGAACUUGAGUUUGUGUGUUUGUUGAACUUGAGUUUGUGUUGUGUUUGAACUUGAGUUUGUGGUGUUUUUGAACUAGAGUUUCUGUUGUUUUUGAACUUGAGUUUGUGGCAUUUGUUGAACUUGAGUUUGUGACGUGUUUGAACUUGGGUUUGUGUGUUUUUUGAACUUGAAUUUCUGUUGUUUUUGAACUUGAGGUAUUGGAAAUUGUUAAACCUUAGAAUCAGCUGUUGGUUGAACUUGAGUUUGUGUCGUGUUUGAACUUUAGUUUGUGGUGUUUUUGAACUUGAGCUUGUGUGUUUGUUGAACUUGAGUUUGUGUUGUGUUUGAACUUGAGGUUGUGGCAAUUGUUAAACUUGAGUUUGUGGUGUUUUUGAACUUGAGUUUGCGGUGUGUUUGAACUAGAGUUUCUGUUGUUUUUGAAUUUGAGUUUGUGGCAUUUGUUGAACUUGAGUUUGUGACAUGUUUGAACUUGGGUUUGUGUGUUUUUUGAACUUGAAUUUCUGUUGUUUUUGAACUUGAGGUAUUGGAAAUUGUUAAACCUUAGAAUCAGCUGUUGGUUGAACUUGAGUUUGUGUUUUGUUGAACUUGAGUUUGUGUCGUGUUUGAACUUUGGUUUGUGGUGUUUUAGAACUUGAGUUUGUGUGUUUGUUGAACUUGAGUUUGUGUUUUGUUGAACUUGAGUUUGUGUCGUGUUUGAACUUUGGUUUGUGGUGUUUUUGAACUUGAGUUUGUGUGUUUGUUGAACUUGAGUUUGUGUUGUGUUUGAACUUGAGUUUGUGGUGUUUUUGAACUUAAGUUUGUGGUGUUUUUCAACUUGAGUUUGUGGUUUUUUUUAACUUGAGGUUGUGGAAAUUGUUAUACUUGAGACCUGGGUAUAGGUCGAACUUGAGUUUUUUUUUUUAACAUGAGUUUGUGUCGUGUUUGAACUUGAGCUUGUGGUGUUUUUGGACUUUAGUUUGUGGUGUUUUUGAACUUGAGUUUGUGUGUUUGUUGAACUUGAGUUUGUGUUGUGUUUGAACUUGAGUUUGUGGUGUUUUUUAACUUAAGUUUGUGGUGUUUUUGAACUUGAGUUUGUGUGUUUGUUGAACUUGAGUUUGCGGUGUGUUUGAACUAGAGUUUCUGUUGUUUUUGAACUUGAGUUUGUGUGUUUGUUGAACUUGAGUUUGUGUUGUGUUUGAACUUGAGUUUGUGGUGUUUUUGAACUUGAGUUUGUGUGUUUGUUGAACUUGAGUUUGUGUUGUGUUUGAACUUGAGGUUUUGGAAAUUGUUUAACUUGAGAAUUGGGUAUUGGUUUAACUUGAGUUUGUGUGUUUGUUGAACUUGAGGUUGUGGCAAUUGUUAAACUUGAGUUUGUGGUGUUUUUGAACUUGAGUUUGUGUGUUUUUUGAACUUGAGUUUGCGGUGUGUUUGAACUAGAGUUUCUGUUGUUUUUGAACUUGAGUUUGUGGCAUUUGUUGAACUUGAGUUUGUGACGUGUUUGAACUUGGGUUUGUGUGUUUUUUGAACUUGAAUUUCUGUUGUUUUUGAACUUGAGGUAUUGGAAAUUGUUAAACCUUAGAAUCAGCUGUUGGUUGAACUUGAGUUUGUGUUUUCUUGAACUUGAGUUUGUGUCGUGUUUGAACUUUAGUUUGUGGUGUUUUUGAACUUGAGUUUGUGUGUUUGUUGAACUUGAGUUUGUGUUGUGUUUGAACUUGAGUUUGUGGUGUUUUUGAACUAGAGUUUCUGUUGUUUUUGAACUUGAGUUUGUGGCAUUUGUUGAACUUGAGUUUGUGACGUGUUUGAACUUGGGUUUGUGUGUUUUUUGAACUUGAAUUUCUGUUGUUUUUGAACUUGAGGUAUUGGAAAUUGUUAAACCUUAGAAUCAGCUGUUGGUUGAACUUGAGUUUGUGUCGUGUUUGAACUUUAGUUUGUGGUGUUUUUGAACUUGAGCUUGUGUGUUUGUUGAACUUGAGUUUGUGUUGUGUUUGAACUUGAGUUUGUGGCAAUUGUUAAACUUGAGUUUGUGGUGUUUUUGAACUUGAGUUUGCGGUGUGUUUGAGCUAGAGUUUCUGUUGUUUUUGAAUUUGAGUUUGUGGCAUUUGUUGAACUUGAGUUUGUGACAUGUUUGAACUUGGGUUUGUGUGUUUUUUGAACUUGAAUUUCUGUUGUUUUUGAACUUGAGAUAUUGGAAAUUGUUAAACCUUAGAAUCAGCUGUUGGUUGAACUUGAGUUUGUGUUUUGUUGAACUUGAGUUUGUGUCGUGUUUGAACUUUGGUUUGUGGUGUUUUAGAACUUGAGUUUGUGUGUUUGUUGAACUUGAGUUUGUGUUUUGUUGAACUUGAGUUUGUGUCGUGUUUGAACUUUGGUUUGUGGUGUUUUUGAACUUGAGUUUGUGGUGUUUUUGAACUUAAGUUUGUGGUGUUUUUCAACUUGAGUUUGUGGUUUUUUUUAACUUGAGGUUGUGGAAAUUGUUAUACUUGAGACCUGGGUAUAGGUCGAACUUGAGUUUUUUUUUUUAACAUGAGUUUGUGUCGUGUUUGAACUUGAGCUUGUGGUGUUUUUGGACUUUAGUUUGUGGUGUUUUUGAACUUGAGUUUGUGUGUUUGUUGAACUUGAGUUUGUGUUGUGUUUGAACUUGAGUUUGUGGUGUUUUUUAACUUAAGUUUGUGGUGUUUUUGAACUUGAGUUUGUGUGUUUGUUGAACUUGAGUUUGCGGUGUGUUUGAACUAGAGUUUCUGUUGUUUUUGAACUUGAGUUUGUGUGUUUGUUGAACUUGAGUUUGUGUUGUGUUUGAACUUGAGUUUGUGGUGUUUUUGAACUUGAGUUUGUGUGUUUGUUGAACUUGAGUUUGUGUUGUGUUUGAACUUGAGUUUGUGGUGUUUUUGAACUUAAGUUUGUGGUGUUUUUGAACUUGAGUUUGUGUGUUUGUUGAACUUGAGUUUGCGGUGUGUUUGAACUAGAGUUUCUGUUGUUUUUGAACUUGAGUUUGUGGCAUUUGUUGAACUUGAGUUUGUGACGUGUUUGAACUUGGGUUUGUGUGUUUUUUGAACUUGAAUUUCUGUUGUUUUUGAACUUGAGGUAUUGGAAAUUGUUAAACCUUAGAAUCAGCUGUUGGUUGAACUUGAGUUUGUGUUUUGUUGAACUUGAGUUUGUGUUGUGUUUGAACUUGAGUUUGUGGUGUUUUUGAACUUGAGCUUGUGUGUUUGUUGAACUUGAGUUUGUGUUGUGUUUGAACUUGAGGUUGUGGCAAUUGUUAAACUUGAGUUUGUGGUGUUUUUGAACUUGAGUUUGUGUGUUUGUUGAACUUGAGUUUGCGGUGUGUUUGAACUAGAGUUUCUGUUGUUUUUGAACUUGAGUUUAUGGCAUUUGUUGAACUUGAGUUUGUGACGUGUUUGAACUUGGGUUUGUGUGUUUUUUGAACUUGAAUUUCUGUUGUUUUUGAACUUGAGGUAUUGGAAAUUGUUAAACCUUAGAAUCAGCUGUUGGUUGAACUUGAGUUUGUGUUUUGUUGAACUUGAGUUUGUGUCGUGUUUGAACUUUAGUUUGUGGUGUUUUUGAACUUGAGCUUGUGUGUUUGUUGAACUUGAGUUUGUGUUGUGUUUGAACUUGAGGUUGUGGCAAUUGUUAAACUUGAGUUUGUGGUGUUUUUGAACUUGAGUUUGCGGUGUGUUUGAACUAGAGUUUCUGUUGUUUUUGAAUUUGAGUUUGUGGCAUUUGUUGAACUUGAGUUUGUGACAUGUUUGAACUUGGGUUUGUGUGUUUUUUGAACUUGAAUUUCUGUUGUUUUUGAACUUGAGGUAUUGGAAAUUGUUAAACCUUAGAAUCAGCUGUUGGUUGAACUUGAGUUUGUGUUUUGUUGAACUUGAGUUUGUGUCGUGUUUGAACUUUGGUUUGUGGUGUUUUUGAACUUGAGUUUGUGGUGUUUUUCAACUUGAGUUCGUGGUUUUUUUUAACUUGAGGUUGUGGAAAUUGUUAUACUUGAGACCUGGGUAUAGGUCGAACUUGAGUUUUUUUUUUAACAUGAGUUUGUGUCGUGUUUGAACUUGAGUUUGUGGUGUUUUUGGACUUGAGUUUGUGGUGUUUUUAACUUAAGGGUGUGCCAAAUGUUAAACUUGAGAAACUGGUAUUGGUUGAACUAGAGUUUUUGGUGUUUUUGAACUUGAGUUUUUGGAAAUUGUUAAACUUGAGAAUCAGAUGUUAGAUGAACUUGAGUUAGUGUGUUUUUUGAACUUGAGUUUGUGUCAUGUUUUAACUUGAGUUUGUGAUGUUUUUGAAUUUGAGUUUGUUUGUUUGUUGAACUUGAGUUUGUGUUGUGUUUGAACUUGAAUUUGUGGCAAAUGUUGAACUUGAGUUUGUGCUUUUUGGUGAACUUUAGUUGGUGGGAAUUGUUGAACUUGAGUUUGUGGCAUAUGUUGAACUUGAGUUUGUGACGUGUUUGAACUUGCGUUAGUUUUUUUUUUUACUUGAGGUUGUGGUGUUUUUGAACUUGAGGUUUUGGAAAUUGUUUAACUUGAGAAUUGGGUAUUGGUUUAACUUGAGUUUGUGUGUUUGUUGAACUUGAGGUUGUGGCAAUUGUUAAACUUGAGUUUGUGGUGUUUUUGAACUUGAGUUUGUGUGUUUUUUGAACUUGAGUUUGCGGUGUGUUUGAACUAGAGUUUCUGUUGUUUUUGAACUUGAGUUUGUGGCAUUUGUUGAACUUGAGUUUGUGACGUGUUUGAACUUGGGUUUGUGUGUUUUUUGAACUUGAAUUUCUGUUGUUUUUGAACUUGAGGUAUUGGAAAUUGUUAAACCUUAGAAUCAGCUGUUGGUUGAACUUGAGUUUGUGUUUUGUUGAACUUGAGUUUGUGUUGUGUUUGAACUUGAGUUUGUGGUGUUUUUGAACUUAAGUUUGUGGUGUUUUUGAACUUGAGUUUGCGGUGUGUUUGAACUAGAGUUUCUGUUGUUUUUGAACUUGAGUUUGU
rnacentral:lncRNA from 1 species